rnacentral:rRNA from 1 species
CCGGGGGCGNGGGGGGCAGGCCUAACACAUGCAAGUCGAGCGGUAGAGAGAAGCUUGCUUCUCUUGAGAGCGGCGGACGGGUGAGUAAUGCCUAGGAAUCUGCCUGGUAGUGGGGGAUAACGUUCGGAAACGGACGCUAAUACCGCAUACGUCCUACGGGAGAAAGCAGGGGACCUUCGGGCCUUGCGCUAUCAGAUGAGCCUAGGUCGGAUUAGCUAGUUGGUGAGGUAAUGGCUCACCAAGGCGACGAUCCGUAACUGGUCUGAGAGGAUGAUCAGUCACACUGGAACUGAGACACGGUCCAGACUCCUACGGGAGGCAGCAGUGGGGAAUAUUGGACAAUGGGCGAAAGCCUGAUCCAGCCAUGCCGCGUGUGUGAAGCACAGGUCUUCGGAUUGUAAAGCACUUUAAGUUGGGAGGAAGGGCAGUUACCUAAUACGAGACUGUUUGACGUACCGACAGAAAAGACCGCACCC